rnacentral:rRNA from 1 species
GUUUAUGGCCAUAGCAGCUUGAAUGUGUCUGAUUUCAUCUGAUCUUAGAAGCUAAGUAGGGUCGGGCCUCAGUAGUACUUGGAUGGGAGACCGCCUGGAUACCCAGUGCUGUAGAAU